rnacentral:rRNA from 1 species
AUGGAGCAAAUUUCAGAAGGUUUAGAGGUGAAUUUUUCCGAUCAGAGAAAAGGAAACUCUGGAAGAAAGCCAAAGAACAUCAAUUUAGAGCAAAUCCCUACUAUUCCACUAAACAAGAGGUCCACUAUCAGAUCUCUAGCUUGGCAACUGGGAUGUAGCCCUACCACACUGCAUAGAAACUUCAAGCUGAAUUUGAUAAAGAGGCACACAAACUAUGUGAAGCCAGCUCUGAAGGAAAAGAAUAAGAAGGAUAGGAUGAAAUUUUGCAUGUCAAUGCUUGAUGAGACAACGAUAGAAACUUCAAGGCCUAAAUGGAAGACAAUGCAUAAUGUUGUGCACAUUGAUGAGAAAUGGUUCAAUAUGACCAAGAAAAUAAGACCUGCUAUCUGUUGGAUGGGGAGGAGGAGCCUACGAGGCCUAUACAUGGCAACUGCAUUGGCAAGGUGA